GUGCAGUGGUGAGAAAAUUAUCUCCAGGUGUUUAUAUUUACAGAUAAUAGAGUUUGAGCAGUGGUCAGUUGCUGAAAAUUGUCUUCAGGAACUCCAGAGAAAUGAGAGUGGUCUAAUCAGAGACAUCAGCAUUCCAGAGGGGGCUGCCUGUCACAGUAGUUCUGGACACCUUCCCGUGCCAGGUCUGAGGGCCACUGCAAACCUUCAUUUGGCCGCAGUGAGAACUUCUGAGUCAUCAACCACAAAAGAAACUGCUUCACUUCCUCUUUUUUCUGCCACACAGCUGGGGUUUGCUUGGCUUAUCUUGGCCUUUGAUUAUGGGAAAUGAGGCACAGAAUUCCAGAACACACCACUGGCCCGCUGCAGGAGUGUCUGUAGUUACCACUGGCAGCAGGAUGUUUCAGAUCUGCCGGCCCUGAGACAAUACUUACAGAAUAGAAAAUUGUAUCUUUAAAGGAAAGAGGACAGUGGGCAUUGGUAUUUAUUUUAUUAAAAAAAAUUUACUUUCUAGUAUAAUUUGUUCUAUAUCAGAAAAAUGAUGUCCUGCAGUAAAGACAGGAAUAUAGUGAUCAUAGAAUCAUGGAAUGGUUUGGGUUGCAAGGACCAUCCAGUUCCAACUCCCCUGCCAUGGGGAGCACACUCCCCUUCCACUAGAGCACAUUACUCCGAGCCCCAUCCAACCUGGUCUGGAACGCUUCCAGGGAUGGGGCAGCCACAGCUUCUCUGGACAGGCUAAUUUACCCUGCUCUCGGUUGACUUUGUCAGUUCAUCUUCAUUUCCCUCCUCAGUCAACAGAAGAACUAUUAGUGAGUUCUCUGAGGCUUUCAUCAGACCUUGAGGGAUUUGUACCCCAAAUAAGACUUCUGAUAUUUUUGGGUGCUGUGGGAACUCUUGUUUUGACCAUACCCCCCAAAGCUCCCUGCUCUCUGUGUGCCUCUGUACCAUAAGAAUCCUGCCAGUAAAUAAGGAGGAAAGUACUGAAAUACUUGCUUUUUUCUUAUUGCUUUUUGCUUGCUAGUCCUGAAGUUUAUUUUUCAUUAACCCUGUGUUCAUCUGAACAAAAUUACGUUUCUUUCUUAUAAGUUAUAAAGGUUUUGCUAUUCACUGGCACAGGUUGCCCAGAGAAGCUGUGGCUGCCCCAUUCCUGGAAGUGUUCAAGGCCAGGCUGGACAGGGAUCUGAGCAACCUGGGCUAGUGGAAGGUGUCCCUGCCCAUGGCAGGGAGUGGAACUGGAUGAUCUUUAAGGUCCCUCCCAAUCCAAACCAUUCUGUGAUUCUAUGAUUCCUCUUACUUUUUGAGGUGACGUAUUUCCAGGAUGAUAUUGAAAGGUUCCUGCAAUUCUCAAAGUGAAAUAGUUAGACUGGAAAGACAAAUGCAUUUUCUUAUCUAUUAAUUUGGAAACAUUUCUGUUGAAUAACAUGAAACUAGUCAGAUUAAUAAAAAUAAUGAAGAAAAUAUCCACGUGUUAUCAAUGAAAUGAAAUGAAAUGAAAUAAAGUGGUGAAGGAUGAAUGUAGCCGAAAUAACACUGAGCAGCUUAUGAGACAUAACAUGUGCUUAGUAGUUUUGAAUAUUAAAAAAUUUGGUCUCCUUUAGAAAGUAUUUAACAGAGGUAUUAACAAAUUGUAUUUACUGCAGAACUUAGGUUAGUGUUUGAGAAGAACUAAACAUUUUAUGAAAGUCAGCCAACUAAGUCUUUUACACUAAAAAGCCUCUGCCACAGAAGUCUUGCAAAACGUUGUUUUGGAAUGUUUGGAAUAGGAGGCACAAGAGAAAAGAAUUCAGCUGCUUUAUCAGCUGCAUUUUUAUUUUUGGUAAGGCCUGCAUUCAAUAGGAUUGCUAUUUACUUGUUCAUAACACCUGUGUGUUGUUAUUAUUGAGUUACAAGACAUAACUGUCAUCCUCCAGAAAUUACAUUCUUAGCACUGAAAAUUACUUGAGGGAGGAUAGGAAUAAGAAGGGAGGGUUGGAAUAUGGAGUUAUGGAAUAUGGAAUACCACAGUAUUGUAACAACAUGAAAAUAAUACUAGUAAGCUGAAUAAAAAGAGAAAAACGUAAAAAAGGAGCAUGACAGGGAGGUUAAACCUCAGAUGGAAAUCUCAGAUGAUAUAAAGAUAUUUAAUUACCUUUAUCUCCAGAACCUGAUGGUCUGGUCAUAAUAAAGAUUAGUAGAUGUACUUUAUGUAAA